UACGUAGGGUCCGAGCGUUGUCCGGAAUUACUGGGCGUAAAGCGUGCGCAGGCGGCUUUCCAAGCGCCACGUGAAAGCCCCGGCUCAACCCCGGGAAUUGCGCUUGAGACUGGUGUGCUUGAGUACGGGAGAGGAUAGUGGAAUUCCCAGUGUAGAGGUGAAAUUCGUAGAUAUUGGGAAGAACACCAGUGGCGAAGGCGGCUAUCUGGACCGUAACUGACGCUGAGGCGCGAAAGCGUGGGGAGCAAACAGG
rnacentral:rRNA from 1 species